UACGAAGGGGGCUAGCGUUGCUCGGAAUCACUGGGCGUAAAGCGCACGUAGGCGGAUUGCUAAGUCAGGGGUGAAAUCCUGGAGCUCAACUCCAGAACUGCCUUUGAUACUGGCAAUCUCGAGUCCGGGAGAGGUGAGUGGAACUGCGAGUGUAGAGGUGAAAUUCGUAGAUAUUCGCAAGAACACCAGUGGCGAAGGCGGCUCACUGGCUCGGUACUGACGCUGAGGUGCGAAAGCGUGGGGAGCAAACAGG
rnacentral:rRNA from 1 species